AGUGAACGCUGGCGGUAGGCCUAACACAUGCAAGUCGAACGGCAGCACAGUAAGAGCUUGCUCUUACGGGUGGCGAGUGGCGGACGGGUGAGGAAUACAUCGGAAUCUACUUUUUCGUGGGGGAUAACGUAGGGAAACUUACGCUAAUACCGCAUACGACCUACGGGUGAAAGCAGGGGAUCUUCGGACCUUGCGCGAUUGAAUGAGCCGAUGUCGGAUUAGCUAGUUGGCGGGGUAAAGGCCCACCAAGGCGACGAUCCGUAGCUGGUCUGAGAGGAUGAUCAGCCACACUGGAACUGAGACACGGUCCAGACUCCUACGGGAGGCAGCAGUGGGGAAUAUUGGACAAUGGGCGCAAGCCUGAUCCAGCCAUACCGCGUGGGUGAAGAAGGCCUUCGGGUUGUAAAGCCCUUUUGUUGGGAAAGAAAAGCAGCAGGUUAAUACCACGCUGUUCUGACGGUACCCAAAGAAGAAGCACCGGCUAACUUCGUG
rnacentral:rRNA from 1 species